rnacentral:lncRNA from 1 species
GUGUAACUCAUCCAAGGAAUGUCUGGGUGCCUACCUACUGUCCACAUCAUUUGUAUCUGUCUACAGGAAUGCAAAGACGAGGAUGUAUACAGUGCCCACCAAUCACUGGAGAAACUGCACUUUCAUAUCUUUAAAAAACUAAAACAACCCAGAGCACAGUGUGGCUAGGCCAAAAGCACUAGGAGAAUUCCAGCUGUAUGGGAUGGGAGGAGGAGGCGAGUGGUCUCACGGGGAAGGCAGUUUGAACAUAUUCAAAAUCACAUUCUCACAGACAGCCGGGGGUCACCCUUAACACUCCCAGGCUAUCAAGUGUUAGUGGACACACUGGAACUAAUGAGGCUCAUAAGGGGACAAGCAGUACUAAUGAGCACAAUCUAGUACAGGUGUACCAGCGUGGGAGCGCUAGACAGCUUCACGGAACAGCUGGAAGAAGUACAGUAGCCGACAGCCAACAGCUGCUGCCCCUCUGCAGCCCACCGCUGUUGUCUGUCACACAGAGGUGACACUCCCUGCGAGUUCCAGACCAGAGUCAGAGCAUGUUGGUGGCAGCAGAGCUGGGUCAUUACUGACCUGACAUAGGAGUGUCAGGUACAUCAGCCUGCCCACACCUUCUCAGAGGUGCCCCGCCUCCUGGAGCUUCCUGUUCAAACUGGCCUAAAAUUUUCUAGAUGCUCAGACUGGCCCCAGCUUCCCAAAAGCUGAACUGGCAAGCAUGUGCCGCCAUGCCUGGUAAAAUCUGAGAUUUGCACGCAUUGCA